GUGCUGAAAGCAUCUAAGCAUGAAGCCCCCCUCAAGAUGAGAUUUCCCAACUUCGGUUAUAAGAUCCCUCAAAGAUGAUGAGGUUAAUAGGUUCGAGGUGGAAGCAUGGUGACAUGUGGAGCUGACGAAUACUAAUCGAUCGAAGACUUAAUCAAAA
rnacentral:rRNA from 1 species